rnacentral:rRNA from 1 species
AUUGAACGCUGGCGGCAUGCCUUACACAUGCAAGUCGAACGGCAGCGGACCUUCGGGUGCCGGCGAGUGGCGAACGGGUGAGUAAAGUAUCGGAACGUACCUUUCAGUGGGGGAUAACGUAGCGAAAGUUACGCUAAUACCGCAUAUUCUGUGAGCAGGAAAGCAGGGGAUCGCAAGACCUUGCGCUGAUUGAGCGGCCGAUAUCAGAUUAGCUAGUUGGUGAGGUAAAGGCUCACCAAGGCGACGAUCUGUAGCGGGUCUGAGAGGAUGAUCCGCCACACUGGAACUGAGACACGGACCAGACUCCUACGGGAGGCAGCAGUGGGGAAUUUUGGACAAUGGGGGCAACCCUGAUCCAGCCAUGCCGCGUGAGUGAAGAAGGCCUUCGGGUUGUAAAGCUCUUUCGGCCGGGAAGAAAUCGCGCCAGUUAAUACCUGGUGUGGAUGACGGUACCGGAAUAAGAAGCACCGGCUAACUACGUGCCAGCCGCCGCGGUAACAC